rnacentral:rRNA from 1 species
UGCACAGCCAUAUCACCCUGCAGCCCAAGACUGGUUGCCCACUGAAGCUAAGCAGGGCUGAGCCUACCUGGAUGGGAGACCUCCUGGGAAAACUAGGUUGCUGUUGGAA